rnacentral:rRNA from 1 species
GCUGGCAGCUAGCUCUCUUCAACUCUCACACGGUCGCUCACUGAAGCUAAGCAGGGCUGUGCCCGGUCAGUACCUGAAUGGUAGACCACAUGGGAAAGCUAUGCUGCUGCCGAAA